rnacentral:rRNA from 1 species
ACUCCUGCGGGAGGCAGCAGUGGGGAAUAUUGCACAAUGGGCGCAAGCCUGAUGCAGCCAUGCCGCGUGUAUGAAGAAGGCCUUCGGGUUGUAAAGUACUUUCAGCGGGGAGGAAGGCAAUACGGUUAAUAACCGUGUUGAUUGACGUUACCCGCAGAAGAAGCACCGGCUAACUCCGUGCCAGCAGCCGCGGUAAUACGGAGGGUGCAAGCGUUAAUCGGAAUUACUGGGCGUAAAGCGCACGCAGGCGGUCUGUCAAGUCGGAUGUGAAAUCCCCGGGCUCAACCUGGGAACUGCAUUCGAAACUGGCAGGCUUGAGUCUUGUAGAGGGGGGUAGAAUUCCAGGUGUAGCGGUGAAAUGCGUAGAGAUCUGGAGGAAUACCGGUGGCGAAGGCGGCCCCCUGGACAAAGACUGACGCUCAGGUGCGAAAGCGUGGGGAGCAAACAGGAUUAGAAACCCUUGUAGUCCCAUGAU